ensembl:lncRNA
CAAAACCACAGUCUCAGACAGUCAACCACCACUGGCCUGGUUUCAUUUCCCCAGACAUGGAAAGACAUUGAGCAAGUUGGUUUCGACGUCUAACCACAACUGAAGUCACAUGCACUAUUAUCAGUUUCUAUCUGGUUUAUAUUGUCCGUUCAUCCAUUGACGACAGACUAUCAGAUUUUAAUUUGAUUGUGUUACUAGUUUCUGCUUAGUUGCAGAUCAAUGCUGCUGCUGCAGGGGUCCUGUGAUAAAUACCUGGACAACACGGAUGUUGAUCAAUACUGCUGCUGCAGGGGUCCUGUGAUAAAUACCUGGACAACACUGAUGUUGAUCAAUGCUGCUGCUGCAGGGGUCCUGUGAUAAAUACAUGGACAACACGGAUGUUGUUGAAGAAAAAGUGAACUUUGGAAAUUAAGCUGCACCUCCUGAAUGAAGAGAGUUAUUUGAUGAAGUCCAAUCAAGCAGGAGAGACCAGCCUCCCCUGUUCCCAGCUGUGUGUCCAUGAAGAGUGACCGGUCUAUGGAACCUCCUCUAACCUUUAGAGAGGGAGACUUUUCUACUGAACAAAGGUAAGAAGAACUCAUGGGUCCUGGUCAGUGAGUUAAACAACACUGUCUCUAGUCAUUUCUCC